CAAAACACAAAUCAUCUAUGGAUAGCCCUGCCAAGCCUCACCCAACCUCGGGUGAGGAGUACGAAAAACUCUAGGGACCCCUAUCCUACAACCCGGAUACUAGACCUCCAGGCUUUCCUAUCAGUGCCAUGUCCUCGGGAACCCGCAUUCUAGCCAUGUCAUGCCUAAUCACCUCUCCCCAAUACCUCUUAGGCCUCCCUCUGCCUCGCCGUACGCCGACCAUCGCCAGCCN
rnacentral:lncRNA from 1 species